GACGAACGCUGGCGGCGUGCCUAAUACAUGCAAGUUGAGCGCUGAAGGUUGGUACUUGUACCAACUGGAUGAGCAGCGAACGGGUGAGUAACGCGUGGGGAAUCUGCCUUUGAGCGGGGGACAACAUUUGGAAACGAAUGCUAAUACCGCAUAAAAACUUUAAACACAAGUUUUAAGUUUGAAAGAUGCAAUUGCAUCACUCAAAGAUGAUCCCGCGUUGUAUUAGCUAGUUGGUGAGGUAAAGGCUCACCAAGGCGAUGAUACAUAGCCGACCUGAGAGGGUGAUCGGCCACAUUGGGACUGAGACACGGCCCAAACUCCUACGGGAGGCAGCAGUAGGGAAUCUUCGGCAAUGGACGAAAGUCUGACCGAGCAGCGCCGCGUGAGUGAAGAAGGUUUUCGGAUCGUAAAACUCGGUUGGUAGAGAAGAACGUUGGUGAGAGUGGAAAGCUCAUCAAGUGACGGUAACUACCCAGAAAGGGACGGCUAACUACGUG
rnacentral:rRNA from 1 species